rnacentral:rRNA from 1 species
UUCGCAAUGCCCGAAAGGGUGAACGAGCGACGCCGCGUGCGGGAUGAAGGCCUUCGGGUUGUAAACCGCUUUUGCAAGGGAAAAACUUAAUGAUGGUACCUUGCGAAUAAGAGGUUACUAACUCUGUGCCAGCAGUAGCGGUAAUACGGAGACCUCAAGCGUUAUCCGGAUUUAUUGGGCGUAAAGCGCGUGUAGGCGGAUGGGAACGUCGGUCUUUGAAAGCCCACGGCUCAACCGGGGAAGCGGAGCCGAAACGACCGAUCUGGAGGGACGUAGGGGGACCUGGAACUUCCGGUGGAGCGGUGAAAUGCGUUGAGAUCGGAAGGAACGCCCGUGGCGAAAGCGAGGUCCUGGACGUCUGCUGACGCUGAGACGCGAAAGCUAGGGGAGCAAACGGGAUUAGAUACCCCGGUAGUCCUAGCCGUAAACGAUGGGCACUAAGUAGAGGGGUUUU